UACGGAGGAUGCAAGCGUUAUCCGGAAUUAUUGGGCGUAAAGCGUCCGUAGGUGGCGAAUCAAGUCUUUUGUCAAAGCGUGCGGCUCAACCGCAUACGGGCAGAGGAAACUGAUUAGCUCGAGUGCGAUAGGGGUCACAGGAAUUCCCAGUGUAGCGGUGAAAUGCGUAGAUAUUGGGAAGAACACCAGCGGCGAAAGCGUGUGACUGGGUCUGCACUGACACUGAGGGACGAAAGCUAGGGGAGCGAAAGGG
rnacentral:rRNA from 1 species